rnacentral:rRNA from 1 species
GAUUAAGUUAUUAAGGGCGCACGGUGGAUGCCUUGGCACUAGAAGCCGAUGAAGGACGUUACUAACGACGAUAUGCUUUGGGGAGCUGUAAGUAAGCUUUGAUCCAGAGAUUUCCGAAUGGGGAAACCCAGCAUGAGUUAUGUCAUGUUAUCGAUAUGUGAAUACAUAGCAUAUCAGAAGGCACACCCGGAGAACUGAAACAUCUUAGUACCCGGAGGAAGAGAAAGAAAAUUCGAUUCCCUUAGUAGCGGCGAGCGAAAUGGGAAGAGCCCAAACCAACAAGCUUGCUUGUUGGGGUUGUAGGACACUCUAUACGGAGUUACAAAGGACGACAUUAGACGAAUCAUCUGGAAAGAUGAAUCAAAGAAGGUAAUAAUCCUGUAGUCGAAAAUGUUGUCUCUCUUGAGUGGAUCCUGAGUACGACGGAGCACGUGAAAUUCCGUCGGAAUCUGGGAGGACCAUCUCCUAAGGCUAAAUACUCUCUAGUGACCGAUAGUGAACCAGUACCGUGAGGGAAAGGUGAAAAGCACCCCGGAAGGGGAGUGAAAUAGAACCUGAAACCGUGUGCUUACAAGUAGUCAGAGCCCGUUAAUGGGUGAUGGCGUGCCUUUUGUAGAAUGAACCGGCGAGUUACGAUUUGAUGCAAGGUUAAGCAGUAAAUGUGGAGCCGUAGCGAAAGCGAGUCUGAAUAGGGCGUUUAGUAUUUGGUCGUAGACCCGAAACCAGGUGAUCUACCCUUGGUCAGGUUGAAGUUCAGGUAACACUGAAUGGAGGACCGAACCGACUUACGUUGAAAAGUGAGCGGAUGAACUGAGGGUAGCGGAGAAAUUCCAAUCGAACCUGGAGAUAGCUGGUUCUCUCCGAAAUAGCUUUAGGGCUAGCCUCAAGUGAUGAUUAUUGGAGGUAGAGCACUGUUUGGACGAGGGGCCCCUCUCGGGUUACCGAAUUCAGACAAACUCCGAAUGCCAAUUAAUUUAACUUGGGAGUCAGAACAUGGGUGAUAAGGUCCGUGUUCGAAAGGGAAACAGCCCAGACCACCAGCUAAGGUCCCAAAAUAUAUGUUAAGUGGAAAAGGAUGUGGCGUUGCCCAGACAACUAGGAUGUUGGCUUAGAAGCAGCCAUCAUUUAAAGAGUGCGUAAUAGCUCACUAGUCGAGUGACACUGCGCCGAAAAUGUACCGGGGCUAAACAUAUUACCGAAGCUGUGGAUUGUCCUUUGGACAAUGGUAGGAGAGCGUUCUAAGGGCGUUGAAGCAUGAUCGUAAGGACAUGUGGAGCGCUUAGAAG